UGAUGCUCCUGGUAAUGGCCGAUAAGCAUGAGGCAUCACCUUCCCGUCAUUCGGGAGACCCUUAACUGGUUCUGGGAGCCAUUGACCCUUUUCAAUAUCAAAAACAUAUAUUCCAGGAACCACCUCAUCCCGCAGUACAACCUCCCUCCACCCUAUUAUCUUGGCUUCUUCUUCUUCUCCCGGUUUUGGUUUCCGUUUUGGACUCCUGGUGCCAAAAGAAAACAAGUAGCGAUCGUUGAAGAGCACCGCGCCAGGAGACCAAUUACCCCACAAGUUGUCAUCAAGCGCAUCCUCGUCCCACUUUUGUGACUCCAAAUCAUACGAGAGCAUGACAUGGGGAUGGUAGGCUCCACCCCGUAAAGAGUAGACGUAUAGUUUUUCUUAGUAAGACCAAGAAGACGUAGCCUAUGUAAUAAUCCCUUGGGCCUGGGGUUGGCACCUUGUGGCGGUACCGGCAACUUCUCCAAUGUCAUGUCUACUCCGGGACGGAAUCGGUAGACUGUAGGUCCAACACAAUAAGCAUAACCAUCAUGGCCAAGAGCUACUCCUCCCCCAAAUUGAGCGUCUACAAGUUUCCCACCUCCUAAGAGCCAUUCGUCUACUCCCAUAUCCAAAUUACUCAAGUCUAUGUGACGAAAUCCAACAGAUUCAUCUUGCAUAUGCUUGAGUGUAUACCCAUCUCCACCAAUCAGAUACGCACAGGAAUUUACAACAGCAAGGUUGUUAGUAGGCGAAAAUGAAUCGGGAAGAGGGAGUCGUCUGACUCUAUCUGUUUCAGAUUCACAUCCAAUCACCUCAUUGGCAGAUGAUAGGGCUGAUUCCAUCAGCGACUUCUCCUCAAUCACAUACCAAAAAUCCUUCAAGAAUCCUGCUACCCUUACGUAGAUUAGCCUGUCCUUUAGGCUUUCUCCAGCCAGUGCGACUGCGCCUAUAGUCAUGGUCCCUUUGAUUCUUCUAACGUACGAGCAGCUUUUACAACAAGGAAAACUUUCAGAGUUGCUGGGCAUAAGAAGAGCACUGAAGUGGAAAGCAAUGAUACUGAUGAUGAUUGAUGAACAACCUACUGAUAGUUAAGGAACCAGUUGUCAAGGAUACUCGACCUGUUUGAGGGUAAAUUUACACCCCCUAGAUUUGUAGCGUAUCGAACAAGUUAUGUGGUUCGUCGUGGAUAUGAUUGAGUAUCUUUGAAGAUAUUCGUUAUUGAGGCUAAACCAAGCCUACUUGGAGAUCAAGCCAUUUUGGUGUAAAUAUGGGAUAUUAUCGAUAUAUCACGGAUCCGGGGUAGUUAAUGGAGGAUUGUUUGGUUACCAAGAUUGAGUUAGAAUAAAGGAUUUGCAUUCAAGGAGUCUUAGACGUGUGCUAUGCUAGUAAGGAAGGUUUUGUUACCUUUGUGAUUAAGGAAGAUAUAUGGUUUUAUCUAAGAAGGAAGUUAAUCAUCCUUGAUUCUUUGUUUCUCAAGAGAAGCCUAAUACGUGCAUGAUCUUUGGUCAUAUGAGGAUUAUAUUCCUUAAUUGCGCU